rnacentral:ncRNA from 1 species
UUUAUCCGCGUGUUCCACUCCGACUGAUAAGCACUCAGCUCCAGGGGAAGCCGGUCGAAAUCCGGCGCUGACCCGCAACCGUAGGCCCGGCACCGCCGGGCGAGUCGGAAUGCCUGGAGCCGGAUUUUUGCAGCG